rnacentral:misc_RNA from 1 species
AAAUGUUCUAAAUAACAAAAAGGACAAUAGGGGUUUAAUAUGAGAUUUUUUUUUCGUGUUAGAUUUUUAUUAUUUUUUUUGUUAUUUAGAAAUUUAUGUUGUCUUUUAACGUCAGGAUGUCUAUUAAGAGUGUAUGGUGUUGGA